CCUUUUGGCCUAGCUUGGUCUACUCCCAAGGUGGGAAAUAACCAGCUCCACGAUACUCCGGAGCAGACUGUGGAUACCACUGCUGUGUGAGCUCCUCUGGCUCCCACUGAUAAACUGGCGUCUGGUACUCGACUGGCGGCUCGGGCAUGGGCGCCUGUGGUUGGGCCAAGCCCCAAUAUGCGUAGAUGUCCGCGGGCAUAAUAG
rnacentral:lncRNA from 1 species